UACCUGCAGCUCAAGUGGUGGCCGCUAUUAUUGGGCCUAAAACGUUCGUAACCGGUUUGGUAAAUGCCUGGGUAAAUCGUGUAGCUUAACUAUACGAAUUCCGGGUAGACUGCCAAACUUGAGACCGGGAGAAGCUAGAGGUACUCCUGGGGUAGAGGUGAAAUUCUGUAAUCCUAGGGGGACCACCAGUGGCGAAGGCGUCUAGCUAGAACGGGUUUGACGGUGAGGAACGAAGCCCUGGGGCGCAAACCGGAUAAGAUACCCGGGUAGUCCAGGGUGUAAACGCUGCUUGCUUGAUGUUAGUUGGGCUCCGAGCCCCAAUUAGUGUCGGAGAGAAGUUGUUAAGCAAGCUGCCUGGGAAGUACGAUCGCAAGAUUGAAACUUAAAGGAAUUGGCGGGGGAGCACAGCAACGGGUGGAGCGUGCGGUUU
rnacentral:rRNA from 1 species